UUUGAUUAACCUGCAUAAUGAUUUUGGAUAUGAAAGAGAUUUUAGAAUUCAAACAAGCCAAAUCAUUAUGCAGAUGAAAAGAUUGAUUUUAUUCUCUUUUUUAUGGUUUUAUGGUGAUCACCAAUUUCAUGCAAAAAGCAAAAAAGUGAAAAUAAUUUGGAAAAACAAACAUUUAACAUGUAAUUAUUGAAUGAAUAUCAUUGUAUUAAUGUGCCAACAAUGUCAUCACUUCUCCUUUUGGCAUGGGAGAAGGGUUUUUAAACAAAAUGUAAUUAUUGAAUGAAUAUCAUUGUAUUAAUGUGCCAACAAUGUCAUCACUUCUCCUUUUGGCAUGGGAGAAGGGUUUU
rnacentral:lncRNA from 1 species